GUCAGAUUCCAUAAAUCAGAAACACUUUGAACAGGCAAUUGAACGAGUGAUUGGUGGCUUAGAGAAGAAAACGCAGGUUCUGCAGCCUGAGGAGAAGAAGACUGUGGCAUACCACGAAGCAGGCCAUGCGGUUGCCGGCUGGUAUCUGGAGCACGCAGACCCGCUUUUAAAGGUGAAGCAGGGUAGCUGCACUAGGCAGCCAGUGCAUGGGUGAGCAGAUGCUCGCUGCAGUCACUCAAGAAGCAAGCUACACUCCUGCAAAGGAGAAAGAAACAAGGCUUUAGCCAAAACUUCUGGUAACUUCUGGUAACCAUAGUUGCACAAACCGUCCCAUAGAUAAAUAUAAAAUUUGGACAGAAAAUUAUUUAAAGGGACCACAGAGUGUCCAAAAGCAGGCGAGAGCUGGAGAGUUUGCUCCUAUAAAGCAGCAGUUGCAGUGGGUUUGAACUGGGAGCCUGUGGCUUUCUUGCCAAAGGGUUUUUCAUAAUCUCCACACUACAGUGGUAUGAGACAUAGUCUUUAUUAUCCUGAGGUGGUAGAGGAGAUAGUCCAGGACUUAAAGAAUACUGGAAAUUUAACAGGAAAAUCCCAGAAGCAAGAAAACUACCAAGUGGUGAGGCCCGAAUCUGAGCAGGAACUGCCCAAAUCUCAGGCCGACAACUAAACUACACAUGCACAGUGGCAAUCCCAGAGAACCUGGCAAAAGGGUAAGCAGAGACCAAAGAGAAAUCUACCCCUGAAAGACGGGGGAACCAUGUGAGAUUUUUAAGUUUUUUGCUUUUCAACUGAGGCAUUUCCCGAACUGCUGCAGCACAGAUGACAGAAAGCAGCUGCCUCCCUGCCUUGCGAUGGGUAUCAGGGCUGCUGGGAAUUGAGGCGGGCCAGGGGUGUGGGGGUCCCCUGAAGCAAGGGAACCAUAGAGAAGACAACAUUAGAGUGUCCAUAAAACAUCCUAAGGAACCCACAGAGAACCCACUAGAACUAAUAAGUAAAGUUAGCAAGGUUGAAGAAUUCAAGGUCAGUAUACAAAGACCAAUUGUAUUUCUGUGUAUUAGCAAUAAACAAUUGGAAAAUGAAAUUUUAAAAAUUCAAUUUCAUUAGCAAUUUCAGUAGCAUCUAAAAACUCGAAAUAUGGAGGAAUAAAUUUAAGAAAAUAUUUGUAGGACAUGCACAUUGAUAACAAGCCCUAAAUAAAAAUAGAGGUGGACUUUGCUCAUGGAGUGUUACAUCAGUUCUCCCAAAACUAAUUGAUAAUUUCAGUGCAAUCUCUGGUAAUUAUAGCAGAUUUUUUUUUUUUGUGGAAAUUGAGAAGCUGAAUCUAAAACCGAUAUGGAAAUACAAAUGAGUAAGAGUAGCCAAAACAGUAAGUUACUCAUCCCAGUAUUAAGACUGUGCAGCUACAGUGAUGAGAGUGUAGUGCUGGUAAGAGGACUGGCACGCAGGCCAGUGGGGUGGAAUGGAGCCCGGAAAGUGAACCACAAACUUUUGGUUCACAGAGGUACCAGGAUAAUUCAAGGGGGAGGAAUUGUCUUAUCUACAGGUGGUUCUGGCAACAGAGUAUUCACAGGAAAAAUGGUGAACGUUAACCCUUGCAUCAUAUGCAAAAAAUUAUUUGAAACAGGUCAUAAGAACUAAAACCAUCAAACUUCUAGGAGAAAAUACAGGGAAAAAUCUCUGUGGCCUUGACCAUGCAAAAAUUUCUUGGGACACAAAAAGCAUGAGCCACAAAAGAAAACGUUGAUAGGUGGGAUCUCAUCAAAAUUUCAAACUCUCUUUCUUUGAAAGACAGUUAAGAAAAUAAAAAGGCAAGCCACGCCCUCCAAAAAUACAUGCAGUACAUAUACAGGACAAAGGACUUAUUUCUAGAACCUGUAAAGAACUCUUAGAACUCAAUAAUAAGAAAACAACCCAGUAAAACAAUGGGCGAAAGAUUUAAACAUGCAUUUCCCAGAAGGUAUAUGAGUGGGCAUUAAGCACACACAGGGUAUCAUUAUUUAUCAGGGACAUGCAAAUUCACCCAUGAGCUACCUGAACAUACUUGCUAGAAUGGUUAAAAUGAAGAAGAGACAGUCUUCAUUGUUGAUAAGGAUAUGGAGCAGUUGAAACGCUCACACGUUAUUGAUAGGAAUGUAAAAUGGGGCCGGGUACAGUGGCUCAUGCCUGUAAUCCCAGCACUUUGGGACGCCGAGGCAGGCGGAUCACUUGAGGUUAGGAGUUUGAGACCAGCCUGGCUAACGUGGCGAAACCUGUCUCUACUAAAAAUAGAAAAAUUAGCCAGACAUGAUGGUGAACGCCUAUAAUCCCAGCUACUCAGGAGACUGAGGCAGGAGAAUCACUGGAGAUGGGGAGGAUCACUUGAACCCAAGAGGCGGAGGCUACAGUAAGCAGCAGUCGUGCCACUGCACUCCAGCCUGGGGGACAGAAUGAAGCUCUGCCAAAAACAAAAAUAGGGAAUGUAAAAUGGUACCAUUGUUUUGGAAAACAGUUUGGCAGUUUCUUAUUAAGGUAGACGAACACUUCCAUGUGACCAAACAAUUCAACUUUUAUUUCCCCAAGAGAAAUAAAAACCUAUGUCCAUGCAAGGACUGUUACUACUUUAUGUAUAAUAUCAAUAAACUGAAAAUAACCCUGACUUCCAUCAAGAAUGAAAUGGAUAUUUGGUAUGUUUGUAGCAGUGGAGUGCCACACAGCAGUAAAAAUGAAUGAUUAUUAAUACAUACAGCAGUAUCUAUGGAUCUCAAAAACAGGGAAAGAGGCCAAACAAUGAAGUAUGUGCCAUACAAUUUCAUUUAUUUGCAAUUCUAGAAGCUAAACUAAUCCAUAGGGACAGAAGGCAUGUCUGUGGUUGCCUGGGGUUGGGUGUGGAGGGAAAGACUCCCUACCAGUGGGUACAAGGGAACUUUCUGGGCAUGAUGAGAAUAUUCUGUAUCUUCAUUGUGGCUUGAUGUUAUGUUUGUCAAAACUCAUUGAACUCUACACUUCAGAUGGGUGCAUUUUACCAUAUAUGUCAUCUCUCAAUAAACUGAAUUUUUUAAAAAUUAAAGGAAUUUACUUAAUUGCAAAAGAGGACUGGAAAGGAAAGGCUGCCGAGCAUCUUGGCCUGCUGUACCCCUCUUCCUUCAAAGGAGGGUGUGGCCACGUCCGACAGCAGAGUUGAAUGAAGCCUGCAUGCUUGCACAACAUCAGAACUGUCAGAAUGUCAAGAUGGAAUACUUUCAAUUGAGUUUUACAAAAAGACAAGAAAUUUGCUGGGUGUGGUGGCGCAUGCCUGUAAUCCUAGCACUUUGGGAGGCCAAGGUGGGGGAAUUGCUUGUAGUCAGGAGUUUAAGACCAUCCCGAGCAGCAAAGUGAGACCCUGUUUUUACUU
rnacentral:lncRNA from 1 species